rnacentral:lncRNA from 1 species
UCCAACAAUGAGGAAAAGUUUUUAAAAGUCCAAAUCUAAAAAUUUUGACACCAAUAUUUUUUUAUUUUGUUUUGAAAGUUUCUCUGCUUUUCCUUACAGGCAAAGCUGCCCCCUUGGUUUUACUUCUCCUGACUUGCAUGAACCACAAACCCAGUCUCUGGAGGAAUUAUCAAUUUCCUCCUGUCGUUCAUGUUUCAGAUGUGAGGUCUAUGUGAAAGUGGAGCCAUCAGCCAGUGUAGAAGUGGUGCAGAGAAACAUGACUGCAUUACUAAGGUCAACGUUCCCCUACAACCUAUUUCACCUUAGAGUUGACCCUAACAGCAUUACUGUUCUCUCUGUGGGUGAGUACAUUCACUGCAAUUCUGGAAACACACUCCUCUAUGCAAAAUCACCCACAAUCCAAUGA